GUCAGCCUAAGUGGCGAGGAAGCUCUUCUCAUAACCCUACGCAGGCUGGCGUAUCCCAACAGGUGGUGGGAUUUGGAGCCACUGUUUGGCCGCCACUACUCCACUUUGUCAAGUAUCGUGUCCCAGGUGCUCACGCACAUUGAAGGCAACUUUGGACACCUGCUGGACUUAACUAAGAACAAGUGGCUGAACAUUGCUGAACUAGGUCGUUUUUCUCAGGCAAUGCAUCGCAGAGGUGCACCACUUAAAAACUGUUGGGGGUUCGUGGAUGGGACAGCGAGACCGAUUUGCCGGCCAUCGGUGAAUCAGAGAAUAUAUUUCUCUGGUCAUAAGCGCGUCCAUGCUGUGAAAUAUCAAUCUGUCAUGUGCGCCAACGGCAUCGUGUGCGAUCUUGACGGCCCCUAUCCAGGUCACAGACACGACGCCGGUAUCCUGGGAGACAGCGGCCUUUACAGCAGACUCGAGCACUUGGUGCAGGGUUCCUUGCACACCAUCUAUGGCGACCCUGCAUAUCCACUACGUCCACUGCUGAUGCGCCCAUAUGCUGGCUCUUCUCUGACAGAGACACAGCAAAGGUUCAAUACCGGCAUGAGCACAGCCUGCCAGGCCGUAGAAUGGGGGUUCGGCAAGACUGUUGGACUGUUUGCGUUUUUGGACUUAAAAAAAAACCAAGAUUCUUCUACAAAAUGUACCUCAGAUGUACAAAGUAGGUACAAUCCUUGCAAACUGCCAUACAUGUUUGUAUGGUAGUCAAGUUUCUAUGUUUUUUGGCUUAAAACCACCAUCUCUGCCAGAAUAUCUGGUUCCCGUCACUGC